AUAUAUGGAUAGGUGCACAUAGUCCUCUCCAUGACGGGAAUUAUGAAUAUGCCGUUGCGGGUGGUGCUUUGUCAUUGACUAAUCUUCCAUUUGGUACACUGUUUACAGAUACUACCAAAGAAGACUGUAUUGAGAUAGAAGUAAAUAACAGCAAUGUCUGGGAGUGGGAUGAUGAAGGUUGUGAUGACAAAUUACGAUAUAUUUGCGAAGUGCCAAGGCAAACCUGUCCGUAGAAGUGUAUGUAGCCGUUAUUAUAUAU